UAUAGUAGCAGCAGUAGUAGUAGUAGUAGUAGUAGUAGUGUUUUCAAAGGUUUUCCACUGAAUCACCAGUUUCAAUAAGGCACCCACAUUUUAGAGAGUGUAGCUGCCUAUAUCCACAGAAAACAGUUCACUUUUUUUUCUUUGGUUUUGGGAUAAAGCCAGUGUCUAGCAAUUCUCCAUUUCGUAGUCUACCUGCUAUUACUUUGCGGUGCAUUGUGCAUGUCGGGACGUUCACAGUCUGAUGUUUUUCGCCGGUUAAUCUGAAUGAAGCAUUAAAUGGAAGAGCCUUCCGCCAUCCCUCAAAUAACACUGGAAUUAUUGUAAAAGCUUUCUGGUAAUUGGAUCAGAUGAGGCAGGUAAUCAAGGCUGAAGUUUUUUUGUUUGUUUUCCUUCUUUGGCCAAAGCAGCGCAGCCUCCUGUUCGGCAUUUCAAAGACGAGGGAAGAAAAAGCCUUUGACGUGACACUCAAAACCAAGAGCGUGAGCUGCCAGCAGUGACAAUGCUAGCGUGCUCGCUGUCUCGCCAUCAUAAAGCAGUUUGUUGAUGGGCUACCUGCCCUAGUCUGUCUGGUGCGGGACCGGUAAUACAAUCCGUCUCAUUCAGACAAGAGGAGACUGCCCCCAGGCAUCGUACUAUGCCCUUAAUCACGACAAAAGCUAAGAUGGGACUUAGAUAGCACAUCAGCCUUCCCUCAGAUUGCUAAUUAUGAUAUUAUUUUUCAGCCAUGGAGGCUGGAAUGGGCAGUUCCUUGGGUUGAAGAAGAGAUCCCGCGCUCCGAGGGAGUCUGGGAGAAAAAGUUGACCAUCUCCAGCAGUGUCGUGUGCUGCAAAUUAUCCUUUCAGCGUAACCUGCAUUGCCACUCGUAGUCCUCAAUCUCCGUAAGAAGCACUCAACCCAUAGUGUAUUUUUUCGCUGCCUUCACAUGCGGCGCAGGGCUCAAAAACUCCCUGGAACAUGGGAGCUGAGCGGCAUUCCAAAACAGUGAGGGAAAGACAUUACAGCAGCCAUUUCCUGAAAGGAGGGGAGGAAAGCUCUUACAAGGCACUUCUUAAUAGGAUCGCUGAGCGCUGAGGCCUUAAGCAGACUACUCGUCUCCAAACAUCUUCAGGAAUAAAAUACAACCUUGGGUUUUGACAGUGUAAAACGUCUAUUUUCUUACCUCUAAGCAACACAAAUACAGAAUUUGCUGGAAGCAAUUUUAGAUUUGUUUCAAGGGGACAUGUUAAUGGCACAAAUUUCUGAAAGGAACAGUCGAAUAAUAAGAAGAUUUCCUUGAGAAACCUGUUUGGAAAUAAUCAUUAUUGCCAUUUUUGCUUAUUUUUGUGUCAGCCACUAGAGGAUAGACAUUGUCAAAUUAAUAAAUUAUCAUUCUUCA